AUUGAACGCUGGCGGCAUGCCUUACACAUGCAAGUCGAACGGUAACGGGCCUUCGGGUGCCGACGAGUGGCGAACGGGUGAGUAAUGCAUCGGAACGUACCUUUCAGUGGGGGAUAACGUAGCGAAAGUUACGCUAAUACCGCAUAUUCUGUGAGCAGGAAAGCAGGGGAUCGCAAGACCUUGCGCUGAUUGAGCGGCCGAUGUCAGAUUAGGUAGUUGGUGGGGUAAAGGCUCACCAAGCCAACGAUCUGUAGCUGGUCUGAGAGGACGACCAGCCACACUGGAACUGAGACACGGUCCAGACUCCUACGGGAGGCAGCAGUGGGGAAUUUUGGACAAUGGGGGCAACCCUGAUCCAGCCAUGCCGCGUGUGCGAUGAAGGCCUUCGGGUUGUAAAGCACGUUUCGGGAGGAAGAGGAAGGACUGUACUCCCAGAAUAAGCCUCGGCUAACUACGUG
rnacentral:rRNA from 1 species